AUAUUAAUAGUUAAUAAAUAACAUUAAAAUGCAAUUUUAAAGUAAAUUAAAUAUUUUAAUAUA
rnacentral:tRNA from 2 species